rnacentral:rRNA from 1 species
UGGGGAAUAUUGCACAAUGGGCGCAAGCCUGAUGCAGCCAUGCCGCGUGUGUGAAGAGGCCUCGGGUGUAAGCACUUUCAGCGAGGAGGAAGGUGGUGAGCUUAAUACGCUCAUCAAUUGACGUUACUCGCAGAAGAAGCACCGGCUAACUCCGUGCCAGCAGCCGCGGUAAUACGGAGGGUGCAAGCGUUAAUCGGAAUUACUGGGCGUAAAGCGCACGCAGGCGGUUUGUUAAGUCAGAUGUGAAAUCCCCGGGCUCAACCUGGGAACUGCAUUUGAAACUGGCAAGCUAGAGUCUCGUAGAGGGGGUAGAAUUCCAGGUGUAGCGGUGAAAUGCGUAGAGAUCUGGAGGAAUACCGGUGGCGAAGGCGGCCCCCUGGACGAAGACUGACGCUCAGGUGCGAAAGCGUGGGAGCAAACAGG